rnacentral:lncRNA from 1 species
CUAUAUUCUUCCAACUGAGUGCUCCAUAAAACAUCAGAAGAAUUAUUUGAUUUAAGAAAGUGAUAUAAUUGGAAAUUUUAAUCUACUUUUCCACAAUUGUGCAGUACUGUGCUGUCUGCUACUUCUUUGGUAUGAUGGAGGACCUUGAAACAAAUUUCACCAUUCCUCAGUAGUAUGCACAUGUGUAGGGAAGUUUGACGAUAUCUAUAGGGCAUUAAAAAUAAGUGUGUCAGUAUAGACUAUGAGGACAGCUAGACUUACAAAUAGCAAAAACAAAACCAGAACCACAAGUCUCACAAUUUCCCCCUCCAAAUGCCUGUAUAAUUUCACUGAAAAGAGAAUAUAUGCUAUGAUUUAUAACUAUGGUUAUAUAUCAGUCUUAAAAUCUAAGAGUAACUAAUGAACUGUUUAAACUAAAUAUAUGAUACAUAGUAGUUUCUCCAUUAGAAAGAUAAGUAUAACAAAAAUAAAUAUUUGUUACUUUCUAAUAAUGAAUCAGCAUCUUUGUCUCAGAUAAAAAUUAUAAUUAUUUUCAUAAUACAGCUACAUUGGUAAGCUUAGCCAAAAAUGUUCUCCUGAGACAUUCUGUGGCAUGUGUAACUACUCCAAAAAUUAAGCUUUUUCUUUGGAUAACACAUUGUCAUCUCAUUGGUUUAAUAGUAAUUUAAGAGUUACCUUAGCUACAUAUUUAAGAGUAUCUAUCUUAGCUACAUAUUUACAGCUUCAAUUUAAGAGUAUCUUAGCUACAUAUUUACUUAAUGGAAAGAAAUUAUUUUAACCCCUUCCAUGUAAUCAGUGGAAGGGAAAUGAGCCCACAUAUUCCAAUAAAUUUGUCAGCAACGCAAUAGUCUCAUCACAGGCUCCCGAAUGCAGCUCAGAGUGGAAAACAAACAAUGUGAUAUUUGAGAAAAAUAUCUAGCCCAGAAUUUGUCUCUCUUUCAUGAGUUUGAAUGGUUAACCUGAAAAAGCCUAUUACAAUUUGCUAUUCUGAAAGAUCUUAAAAAGCUUCACAGUUUUAUGCACCCUAUUAAGUAUGAAUACUUUUCAGUUAAGUGG